rnacentral:rRNA from 1 species
GACGAACGCUGGCGGCGUGCCUAAUACAUGCAAGUCGAACGCACGCUCGAGUAGAUUGCAGGUGUGUGCUUCUGAGUGGAAGAGAGUGGAGCGAGUGGCUAACGUGUGUGUAACACGUGGGUAACUUGCGCUAAAGGGGGGUAAUACAGGUGGAUACAGAGGAUAAUAUGGCAUAAAAGUGAAAACCGCAUUUGGUAUGGUUGAAAGAUGGUUUCGGCCUUCAUUAGAGGAUGGAUCCGCGCUGCAUUAGUUAGUUGGUAAGGUAACGGCUCACCAAGACGACGAUGCAUAGCCGACCUGAGAGGGUGAUCGGCCACACUGGAACUGAGACACGGCCCAGACUCCUACGGGAGGCAGCAGUAGGGAAUCUUCCACAAUGGACGAAAGCCUGAUGGAGCAACGCCGCGUGAGUGAAGAAGGUCUUCGGAUCGUAAAACUCUGUUGUUGGGGAAGAACAUAUCUGUAAGUAACUGUUCAGGUAGUGACGGUACCCAACCAGAAAGCCACGGCUAACUACGUG